rnacentral:rRNA from 1 species
AUGAACGCUGGCGGCGUGCCUAAUACAUGCAAGUCGCGCGAACGGACGAGAAGCUUGCUUCUCUGAUGUUAGCGGCGGACGGGUGAGUAACACGUGGAUAACCUACCUAUAAGACUGGGAUAACUUCGGGAAACCGUAGCUAAUACCGGAUAAUAUUUUGAACCGCAUGGUUCAAAAGUGAAAGACGGUCUUGCUGUCACUUAUAGAUGGAUCCGCGCUGCAUUAGCUAGUUGGUAAGGUAACGGCUUACCAAGGCAACGAUGCAUAGCCGACCUGGGAGGGUGAUCGGCCACACUGGAACUGAGACACGGUCCAGACUCCUACGGGAGGCAGCAGUAGGGAAUCUUCCGCAAUGGGCGAAAGCCUGACGGAGCAACGCCGCGUGAGUGAUGAAGGUCUUCGGAUCGUAAAACUCUGUUAUUAGGGAAGAACAUAUGUGUAAGUAACUGUGCACAUCUUGACGGUACCUAAUCAGAAAGCCACGGCUAACUACGUG